UAUAACAAUUUCAUGCAAAAACGGUGAGC
rnacentral:sRNA from 1 species